CGCCCACCGCUCUCUCUCCUCCACCUUAUCCAUUUCACAGUCCCCACAUAGCCACACCCCCACGAGCAGGAGCUCAAUCCCGAGCGACCCCGGUGCCUCUCCCACACCUCCGGUGGCCGGCGAACGCCGACGAGCGCAGUCAGGUGGCCGGCGAGAUGGGCGGUGGCAGGCGUGAGGGGCGGGGAGGGGCGGGUUGGUGGUGAGCACCGGGUGGAUCCCCCUUCUCCCAUGGCGGCUUGGGUGGCGGUGAGGGAGAGCUGCGUGGUCUUCCUGGCGGUGAGGGGGCGGUCCAGGGGGACCGGAUGGCUGAAGCGGAGGAGGCGGGCGCGCGUGCGGCUACUUCUGAGGUUCGAGCUCCGCCGCGCCAGUCUAUUUGCAUGCUGCCGCCAUGCUACUCGCCAACUCCUGCCCCGGGAAAGGCGGGGGCGGGCCGGUGGGAGUCCCUGGUGGGGCUCGGCCUCCGCGGUGGACGCAGGCGCGGGCCGGAGCUACUCGAUCCGGUGGGCAAGCGCCACCCCGCGUUCUUCGUCAACAUCGACGGGCUUGCGGUCGUGGGGGGCAAUGGCUUGUUCGUCAGGGUGUCGCGGCGGCCCAACAACUACUACAAUCAUGGCGACAUCCGCGCGCUCGAUGUGAUCUUCAGGAAGGCAUGUCUGCUCCAUGCUCCUCCGACACGCGAUGCCAUGGAGGUUUGAUUUUCCCUCUCUCAGUUUGGUGUGUUGUGUGUUCAUGCACACGGCAAUAGGGCGAUGAUUCUUGUUUGAUCAAUCAUCUGCGUACAGUUUUGAAUCUGAUAAUGUAUAGAAUAGAUGGAUAGUCUUUAGUUUCCAUGGGCGGUUUUCGAGCAUGCAGUGAUGGCGACUUUAGAGUCAUGGCAAUUUAUGAUGAUGCCAUGGUAAAUUUCAGAGACAUGCUAAAUUUUACACCCAUGGCAUUUUAAGUUGAUCACAUAGCUUAAACAUGUGUACCUGUAGUAGUGCCCCAGGUCACAAGGCCUGUUAGUGAACUGGUGUUGUUCUUUACAGAAUACAUGUGGUUAGAUUGAGGUUAGAAAUCAUGGCAAUUGUUACACUUUUAUCGAUGGCAAUUCUGUAACGUAUAUUUCUAUUUUUAAGCAAAACGCCAUGGCAAAUUUGAAAAUGCAUAUGCCAUGGCAAUUUUUAUUCAUAAUUUGUAGCCAUGUCCCUUGUAAUACAAGCACUUAUAUUUUUUAGGCCUAUGGCAAUAUUUGAUUAAGCCCAUGCCCCUCGUAAUACAAGCCCAUGUCAAAGUUAUAUGUGUACGUAGCAUGCUAAUUUUCUGCAUUUGAUCACAUAGCAAGUUUAAAAAAUGUUCCUAUGACCUUUUUUUUCAAAGUUUGCCAUGGCAAAAAUGUCAUGUUAUUUUGUCAUGGAAAAUUUAGUUAUUUUUAACACGCCCAUGCCAAUCUUUAUGUUUUUGUUUCUUACUUAACCACGUCAAAUUUAGUUUGUUGAUAAUGGCAAAUUUAGUUUAUUGACCAUGGCAAUCUGAUUUUAUUUGAUCAUGUCAAAUUUAGUUUAUUUGGUUCAUGGCAAAUUUAGUUUACUAGUCACAGCAAAUUUCGUUUUCAAAUCAUGGCAAUUUUUACUUUAUGUGAAUUCCGCCGUGGCAAGUUUUGAUACGAAUCUGCCAUGGCAUUUUUCUUGUUCAUACCUGACUUUCAACUUUUUGUGUGUUUUUUCACACACGGCAAAUUCAUCAUACAAACACACGGCAAUUCCUGAUACGAAUUUGCCAUGGCAAUUUUCUCAUUCAUAUUUUUUGAUUUUCAACUUUUUGUGUUUUUUUACACACACGGCAAAUCAUAAUACCAAAGCACGGCAAUUCUUGAUACAAAUCUUCCAUGCCAAGUUUUGAUACAAAUUUGGUUUAUUGAUCAUGGCAAAUUUUAGUUGAUUGAUUCAUGGCAAAUUUAGUUUAUUGAUCAUGAAAAAUUUAGUUUCAAAUCAUGGCAAUUUAGUUUACAUGAUUUUUCUGCCAUGUCAAGUUUCAAUAUGAAUCUGCCAUGGCAAUAUUUCUUGCUCAUGGCAAAUUUAGUUUAUGUGAAUUCCGCCGUGGCAAGUUUUGAUACGAAUCUGCCAUGGCAUUUUUCUUGUUCAUACUUGAUUUUCAAUUUUUUUUCUUUUUUUUUGGCACACGGCAAUUCUUGGUACGAAUUUGCCAUGGCAAGUUUUGAUAUGAAUCUGCCAUGGAAAUUUUCUUGUUCAUAAUUUUUAUUUUUCAACUUUUUUCUAUUUUUACACGCACGGCAAAUUCAUCAUACCAGAACACGGCAAAUCUGUCAUGCCAAGUUUUGAUACAAAUUCAGUUUAUUGAUCAUGGCAAAUUUUAGUUUAUUGGUUCAUGGCAAAUUUAGUUUACAAAUAAUGGCAAAUUUAGUUUAUUGAUCAUGGCAAAUUUAGUUCUCAAAUCAUGGCAAUUUAGUGUAAAUGAUUUUUUCUGCCAUGGCAAUUUUUCUUGUUCAUGACAAAUUUAGUUUACGUGAAUUUUGUCGUGGCAAGUUUUGAUACGAAUUUGCCAUGGCAAGUUUCUUGUUCAUAGUUGAUUUUCCAACUUUUGUAUGUUUUUUCACACACGAUAAAUUCAUCAUACAAAAUACGGCAAUUUCUUUGAUACCAAUCUUCCAUGGCAAAUCUCUUUGUUCAUACUUGAUUUUCAACUUUUUGUGUUUUUUCUCACACACGGCAAAAUUCUCCUUCAAAACACGACAAUUUUAAGUAAACUUUCAUGGAAUUUUUAAUGAAAAAUGCCAUUGCAUUUGUUAUCUUUUACUGUCCUGUCAAAUUUAUGUGUUCUUUUCACAUGAAUUUUUGAACUAUUUCUUUUCACAUGGCAAUAUUGAUUUUUUCUGUCAUGGCAGAUUUGCCAUAUUUCAUUUUGGGCAUUAAAUAUGUGUUUAUAAACCUUUGCCAUUGUUAAAAAACAAUAUAAUGGCAAAUAGUUUGGUCAAACUAAAAUGGCAAUUUUUUUCUGCUAUUUUCAAAGCAGCUGAUGGCAUUUCUUAGUAGCUGAGCAAAAUCUGGCUUUUAUUUGUUGCAGAAAAAACUAAAAUCUGGGCCUUUUCAUUUAAUUCGUUCUCAGUGGGCCUUUUGUUCCUUUUUUUCACACUAAAAAGGGCCUGGUGCGAUGGAGGCGUGUGGGCUGUGGGUUUCCCUGCCGAGUGAUCGAUCCCCUCGUAUCGAACAAGUCGUGUGGUAGGGUGUUCCUCCUGCCACACGUGUGGGCAGUGCUAAUAUUCGCCCACACAGGGUCGUGUGGGCUGCUUGCUGGGUAUCCACACACGGGCGUGUGGGCGGGUUUCUGUUGUGCCACAAGUGUGGCAGUUAUCGACGUCCUUUUUUAAUGGUUUUUCUUUAAGAAGAAUGAUAAGUUUGAGCAGGCACUGUCUGUACUAAAUAGGAAAUCUUUUAUGAAAUUGCUCGUGUCUGAUGGUCUGUUUUUGAAAAAAAAUCAAUAGGUGUAUGUUAGUCAAGUACAAUUAUGUUUUAUUUUUUAAAAUAAAAUUAUGGGAUUGCACUGCCUUUACGUUUGAUUGAAAGCACCACUCUGUCGUCGUGAUAGAGUCGAGCUGAUACUAUUGGCGGAUAUAUUGAGCAUGAUAGCAUUGGAAGCAGUACAUGCUAUUGAAAGAAGUUUUAUGUUUAUAUAUAGAAACUCAAUCUGCACUUGUAAUUGGGAAACCAAAAUUAAUAAUAUGUAUAUGCGUGCAAUCUUCAAAAGAAUGUACAUGUGUUGAACAACUUCUUAAGUGAUGUCUCAAGUACAAAUCAAACUCCGGCUCACUGCCUAUUAACCGUUGACCGCUAGAAUUCUCUUUGACAAAUCACCUUCAACCGAAUGAACUACCUGCAAAAUAAGGUUAGUUAUGCGUUUAGAUGUCAAAAGUGUUAUCAAAAAUUUGAUUCAUUUGGCAUUUCAAAAUGAACUAAAACUAUUUGACAUACCAGUUUUGCUUUAGAUUUUCCUAAUACAUUUGAUGAAUUCCAGUACACCAGCUGGCAUGUUAUCUUCACAUUCAUUGUCCUUCAAUGUUAGCACUUGGCCCAAAAUUAGUUUUCUGAGUACAUAUCCAUCCUACACAUCCAUUUGUUUGUAAAAGGAUGACAUCAGUAUUAGAUGUGUAAUUAUAAUAAUAUUAAUGAUAUAUACAACCGCAAUAUUUACCUUUAAAAAUGGUAAAUGUAGUCUUUCGUCUUUCCAUGUGGACAUGAAGAGGGGAACACGAUAACCGGACAAUUCCCUUGUAUAUAAGAAUUACAUGUUAGUAAAUAAUAUUGUAUACAUAUUCAGAACAACAAAUACUUAGUAUAUAGUCUUUAACUCCUGAAAAAUGUUACCUGUUGUAAACCGGAAUAUCAUCUAGUAUUUUAUGAUGCCAUAGGAAAAUAUUCUCGUUCCAUAUAGACCCAGGGCAUGCUUUUGACAUUGCUUUCGGCAAAUGUUUUGCAAUCCAUUUAAUUUUGGGCAAAUAUUUUGCGAGUGGGUUGUAUUGGUAGAUGGGUUAAUAGGAGUAGGGUCCAAAAUGUACACUGUUCUGCUAUCCUUGUCCAAUGAGAAUAGAAUGAAAUCAUUGUUGAAUUGUAUUGGAACGUGGAUCUGAAACAGGCUACAUAUUAGAGGUAAUAAAAAUUAGGGUCUAAGAUAUAUAGAAGUGCUCUUACCAAUUUGCAUGUUGAAACAUUAUAUUUGAGACCAGACCAACUACGGACAGAAUUUGCUAGUUGUUCCACAUCUAGCUUUUUACGAUAGUCUAGGUGCCGUCCAAAAUCAGUAGUUAUCUAGUAUAUAAAAUAAUUGGUUAGAAAGAUUAUUAAAAAAUUAGAAUAUAAAAAAGUAUAAAAUGAAUAUUUUUUAAGCCAACACAAACAUGAACACCACGUCUAGUGAUCCCUCUACCAACUCAAAAGGCCAUUCUUUGGUUCUGACCUCUAUUGGAAGCCCGCCUCAGCUCGUCAAUUCAUCGGCUGAGACUGUGUUGCUCGCCAGUGCUUCCGAUAGCGCCUUCAUCUUUUUGGCCAAUACAAAUCUUCGUCUCCGCUUCCCCUAAAAAGCGCACCGCCUAUCAGCUAAGCUUCUGCGAUGAUGGUUAUUGCGCUGCAUAAAGGAAAAGUAAAAUAGUUUGAUAAACUUUUGGGUGCCAACAGAAGCAGAUUGAACUAAUUAUCUUAAAGAUGUGAUAUGAAAAACAAAGUAAUAUUCAUAUUCAAUGAAAGAUAGUGCAAUACGACUAAUCUAGUAAAGUAAUUUGGAAUGUCGGCUUAACUAACUCUUUACCAUCAACUAAAUUGUGAAGAACCCAUUUGUUUCACCAUAAAUAGAAACAAAAAAAAUUCAAUCUAUUAGAUAAAGUAAACUGAUUAGGCGGCCUAAUCAAGAUGUAUGUCUAUAUCUAUUUAGGAUUCAUCAAAGAGCACACUUGGUGCGGUUAUAAAUGCUAUGCAAAAUAAGUUAGCAAACCGCCCUAAAAGAGAUGGAUAAUUUGAUAUAUUAUUCAGCAGAAUAUAAUAUAAAUGGAUGCAGUAUUCAACUUUUACCAGGUGUAACUGAUAAGGUUUACCGUGAGACAAACCUGAAUCCUUACAUCCACAAUUAAAUUUCGCACAGCUGAAUUAUAAUACUGGUAAAACAACUAUACCAUCAUAAGCAUUCUACCUAAACGGUUUCAAUGGAGAGUACCUAUACACUCAAGGAUUCCUGGGAGCAAGAUGCAAGGAAAAGGAUUAAAAUACUGGGGGGUAAUGAAAGUUCCAAUGUAGAAAAACUUGCCCUUUUGAUGUUCUUUGGUAAACACAUAUUUUACUCGAGCAAUAAAAAUCGUUCCUACAGAAUCGAAGGUCUGGGUCUUUUCCAUUAUUAGAUGAACAUAAAAAAACUUGCCCUCAGGCAAGAACUGCUUCAGUGAAUAGAUAACUUGAAAUAGUCAGCCAUGAAAACAACAGAGAAAGGAAAUUAAGAAAAAAAAUAAUUUUUUCUCAGGUAAUUAAAUUAAAAGGAAAAUGAUUCCACCAAAAGACAGAAGCAUUGUCGUCCCACAAACUUUAACAAAAUAACCAUUGUCACAAGUAGCAACACAACCAGCAAUUGCAAAGCAGCAGCCCAACACACAUAUCAGGCAGGACAUGCACCAACAUCAAACAAAAAAGUAGGUUUGAUGUUCAUGUUAAGGAAACGGGCAUUUCUUGAGAUUUAUUACCGCACAAGGGAGAGUGUGGCUGGCGAAGAACAGGGGCAGGGUCGUCAUCUUCUUCGCAGAUAUGUACAUGAAGUAGAGUGAAGCGAUGGAGAACCAAUAGGAUAGGUCCUGCUGGAUCUGACAGGAGCAGGCGAUGAAGACCAGCAGUGCAGCCACCGGCGGCCGAAACCUCCACACGCCCCUCCUCCUCGAGCUCUUAAACUGUUACUUCCUUGGUCGGCUCCAAACCUGCAUUGAGCAGUGUUGACAUUAAGCCAUGCCUGUGCCCGGAUGGUGCAUGAGUCCGAGCUCAUGUCUGUGUCCAUCAAGUGGCCAGAUCGUGCGGCGACGGUGGGCUGUUGCAGCGAGCCCAGCGGAUGCACAUGAUGGUGAGCCAGGUCUUGCGAAGGAGCGGGCGGCUCCAGUUCGAGAAGACUGGAUCGCCAGGAGGCAUGCGCGGCUGACCGUGGAGUCCGUGUUGGUUGCGUCCAGGUAGUUAGCGUCGUCCGCGCGGCCGUAUAGCUAGCCAGUUUGUUUGUAACCAUCAUGCAUGUAGCUAGCAGGCUGUGGGUGCGUGGGUUAGUGGCCUAAUGCGGUGUGGCCGAUUAGUGCGUGCGUGCGUGCAUGAUAGCGAGCUAGGUGUGUGUGCGUCGGGUAUAAAAGCGCCUGUGUUCUGGUUGUGGAAAGGGCCGGUGAAGUUCCCAGCCGUGUCACGUUCGGGCGCCGGGGCGUUGGUCGCCGGAAAAAAGAGUGCUUCUUCUUCCACCUCCGUCCGGUGUGAGAGAGAGUGGCAACAACAAUUGAUAUUCAGAGCCAAGGUCGAGGGGUGGCCGUGGCGUGCGGCGGCGUCCGCGGAGCGCGCAGCGGACAUGGAGGCUGCGGCACGCGGAGAGCGCAGUGGGGCGAGGCAUGGAGACGCAGCACGGCGGCGCACGGAGAUGCGGGUUUCGGCAGCGGCAGCGAGUGGCGCUCGACGGGGCGCAGCGCGGCGGUAGCUGCAUCGGCGACGGUGCGCGACAGCGGCCGGCGAGGUGGCCGCGUUGCACGGCAUCUCCGGCGGCUUGUGCCGGAAGGACACGGUGGCGUCAGGCGGCAGCAACCAUGGCGACGAGCUUGAUUUUGUACUCCAUUAACUCAAGCAAAUCAUCUCAGCGGCAGCAACCGUCCGGGUGAGAGAGAGCGGCAACAACAAGCAGAUCAUCUCAGCAAAAUGCAAUACUGUACUCCAUUAACUCAAGCAAGGAGAGAAAAAAUAUAUGUUCCAUCAAUGUUUUUCUAAUUUGAUAUUAAUAAGAAAUAAUAUCAGAAGUACAUCGGUCCUUGAUUUUGUUUUCUUAGCUAGGGUCUCUUGUAGGUUGUAGUAGAUGUAUUAAGGAACGGAAACAAAUCAAGUCUGCAUUUUUGUGCCGGCUGGAGACCUACUGCUUCGGUAUCUUGUUGUAUACAAUUCAAAUGAUGCAGAAAUUAUGAACUUGAGACUGAGACACCAUGUAGUAGAUUGGAUAUUGUUUGAUAUCAAAUACAUAUUGAGGAAUUACAACAA